UACGUAGGGUGCAAGCGUUGUCCGGAAUUAUUGGGCGUAAAGAGCUCGUAGGCGGUUUGUCGCGUCUGCUGUGAAAACUCGGGGCUUAACUCCGGGCUUGCAGUGGGUACGGGCAGACUAGAGUGCGGUAGGGGAGAACUGGAAUUCCUGGUGUAGCGGUGAAAUGCGCAGAUAUCAGGAGGAACACCGGUGGCGAAGGCGGGUCUCUGGGCCGUAACUGACGCUGAGGAGCGAAGCGUGGGGAGCGAACAGG
rnacentral:rRNA from 1 species